rnacentral:rRNA from 1 species
AACGCUGGCGGCAUGCCUAACACAUGCAAGUCGAACGAGACCUUCGGGUCUAGUGGCGCACGGGUGCGUAACGCGUGGGAACCUGCCCUUAGGUUCGGAAUAACUCCCCGAAAGGGGUGCUAAUACCGGAUAAUGUCUUCGGACCAAAGAUUUAUCGCCUUUGGAUGGGCCCGCGUUGGAUUAGCUAGUUGGUAGGGUAAAAGCCUACCAAGGCGACGAUCCAUAGCUGGUCUGAGAGGAUGAUCAGCCACACUGGGACUGAGACACGGCCCAGACUCCUACGGGAGGCAGCAGUGGGGAAUAUUGGACAAUGGGCGAAAGCCUGAUCCAGCAAUGCCGCGUGAGUGAUGAAGGCCUUAGGGUUGUAAAGCUCUUUUACCCGGGAUGAUAAUGACAGUACCGGGAGAAUAAGCUCCGGCUAACUCCGUG